rnacentral:lncRNA from 1 species
AUUCCGAGGCCUCUGCGGGACGUCACGUUUCCAAAAGCGCGCGAGCCCUGCCCCUCCGGGAAGAGGCACCAUAGAAAUGUGUGCUAACAAGCCUCCCUGCGGCCUGCGGAGUAUAGGAGAGAGCAGGAAGCUUUCAGAAAAAACUUUUUCUAAUGUUUCUAAUCUCGAUGCUGAAAUAAAUGAGCCUUCGCCAUGUUAAAUUGGAGGAGAGGAAAUCGUCUCAACUUGGGUCUGUGAAAGGGUGAUUUUUGAGAAGAAAGAGGUCCUAUACAUUUUUAUUUUUAUUUUUUCUCACUCUUGUCGCCCAGGCUGGAGUGCAAAGGCACGAUCUCCGCU